GUCAGCCGGGCCCCAUGUAAAAAGGCACCGGGGCCGCGCGCGAGCCGAAAGAAAGACAGAACGAUUUGUUAUUUAAAUUUUCGAUUAAGUAGCACAAGCAACGGACCGGAAACCGGGAGGGCGAGGAAAGGAAAGCGCAGUACGACGGAAAAUUUGCUUUUCUUCUUGUUUUCUGUUUGGCGGAAACGAAAGUACGACGACGCGGUGUCGGCGAGAAGGACACUCGAACGCGCGCGCUUCGAUCAAAAAGGUGACAACUCGAGAGUAAUUUACCACGAAGCACACGCCGAACGCGGGAGCUGCCAGUGACCGUGACGAACGAAGAGGAUUUUACGGACCGCCUUCGAGUGUGCCGUUUCUUUUUUUUUUUUUUAUGUGUGAACACCGUUAACACACGUCCUCGAACUGGUCUUCUUGGGAUCGACGCGAUCGAAAAGAUUGACGAAUGACGCCGUAGCAGAGAGCUGGUUGAUGCGCGGAUACCGGGACACAAAAGGGGACAGCAUCUUUCGAAUCGCCACGGCAACGUUCAUCACGAAUAAGAAGAAUCGCGCCAACGAAAAUCGAGACGAGGGAGCGAGGGGCACCCAGCCCUUUGGUGAGCUCGAAGGA